rnacentral:rRNA from 1 species
CACGUAGGGUGCGAGCGUUGUCCGGAAUUAUUGGGCGUAAAGGGUGCGUAGGCGGUCUGUCGCGUCGGCUGUGAAAACCCGGGGCUCAACCCCGGGCCUGCAGUCGAUACGGGCAGACUAGAGUGUGGUAGGGGAGACUGGAAUUCCUGGUGUAGCGGUGAAAUGCGCAGAUAUCAGGAGGAACACCGGUGGCGAAGGCGGGUCUCUGGGCCAUAACUGACGCUGAGGAGCGAAAGCGUGGGGAGCGAACAGG